ACGGAAGGCAGCAGUGGGGAAUAUUGCACAAUGGGGGAAACCCUGAUGCAGCGACGCCGCGUGAGUGAAGAAAUAUUUCGGUAUGUAAAGCUCUAUCAGCAGGGAAGAAAAUGACGGUACCUGACUAAGAAGCACCGGCUAAAUACGUGCCAGCAGCCGCGGUAAUACGUAUGGUGCAAGCGUUAUUCGGAUUUACUGGGUGUAAAGGGAGCGUAGACGGCAUGGCAAGUCUGAAGUGAAAUGCGGGGGCUCAACCCCUGAACUGCUUUGGAAACUGUCAAGCUAGAGUGUCGGAGAGGUAAGUGGAAUUCCUAGUGUAGCGGUGAAAUGCGUAGAUAUUAGGAGGAACACCAGUGGCGAAGGCGGCUUACUGGACGAUAACUGACGUUGAGGCUCGAAAGCGUGGGGAGCAAACAGGAUUAGAUACCCUGGUA
rnacentral:rRNA from 1 species